AUUGAACGCUGGCGGCAGGCCUAACACAUGCAAGUCGAACGAGUGGCGGACGGGUGAGUAAUGUCUGGGUAACUGCCCGAUGGAGGGGGAUAACUACUGGAAACGGUAGCUAAUACCGCAUACCAUCGGAUGUGCCCAGAUGGGAUUAGCUUGUAGGUGAGGUAACGGCUCACCUAGGCGACGAUCCCUAGCUGGUCUGAGAGGAUGACCAGCCACACGGGAACGUAGACACGGUCCAGACGCCUACGUGAGGCAGCAGGGGGGAAUAGUGGAGAAGGUGGGCAAGCCGGAUGCAGCCAUGCCGCGGGGAUGAAGAAGGCCUUCGGAUGUUAAAGUACUUUCAGCGGGGAGGCGUUACCCGCAGAAGAAGCACCGGCUAACUCCGUGCCAGCAGCAGCGGUAAUAC
rnacentral:rRNA from 1 species